CCUCAUCCAACUGUCUAUAAAGUAUCUUAUCCACCUCUUCAUCCUGGGUGGGUGGCCUGUAGCAGACUCCCACGAUACUGUCAGUCUUAUUGGCCUUCCCCUUGGUUGUAACCCGUAAGCUCUCAACCCUAUCAUCACCAUCAUUAAUUUCCAAACCAUAGUGGAAAUGCUAAGUCAUGGCCUGAACCAGUGAUCAAGCACCUGGUGGGAAGGCAGGGCCAACCCAGGGGAGCUCAGGUGCAUGCAGUGUACCUGAAUGACUGGAAGGUGUGGAGUCAGGAUCCACCCUUCCCAGACCUCAUUUAAGGGUUGGCAGUGGAGGUGAGGGUGUCUUCUGCUGGAGGUUUCUGCCUACCUGGGGUUUUCUAAAGGUUUAUGUUUAUGGAAACAACCUCACACCAACCCUUCUGUUCUUCCUGCAGAAUGGAACCUCGAGGACUGUUCCCUUUCUGCUGCAUUGUAAUUCCAGGAGAUGUCUGUGGAGUUGAAGUCCCCCAUGAAAACAAGGGGUAGAGACUGUGAGACCUCACCCAAGUGCCUGUAGAAACCAGAUUUUAAGUUUCUGUGCUACAAAUAAUGUGUUUGAGUUAAUCCAUUUGGCAGGAAAAAGUCUCUAUUUUUCAAAAUAUGUAGCUCUGAACUGAUUUUAAAUGAAUGUCUAAUUUUUAAAUGUUUGAAAUAUCCAGUCAAUGCUGUUAAUCAAAAUAGUGAUUCAAAGUAUUUUUGCAUUUUCUCUCAAAUACUUAACUUUGCUUUUCAAAAUCAGUGUAUUGUAUGGUCAUAUUUUGGAAGUGCAAAGACUCAGUCAAAACUGCAGAGAUGGACCUCACAGAGGAUACAGUUUAAUGCUAUUUUUUUCAUAUGCUUGUUGUGUUAUUUCUAGCUCCUAGCACUCUGCAAUAACCAAAUGUUCUUGUUUUGGUAUUUUUGGGGGCUGAUAAUAGCAGCAACCUGCAACAUUUUAGUACUGAACAAAGUGCAUUUGGUGGCAUGAUGUUUUGAGACAUCUGCCUUGCCUCUACUUGCGUAACUCUGGAUGUGUCCUUCCUAUCUCCUGCAGAAGAUUUUUGUUUUCCUGACCCUGUGAUUUCUGUAGCAUUCCUGUGAAAGCUUCCCUUGCAGCUGGUAGGACUAUGGUUGGGUGUGUGGUGGCUGUUCUUCUCAGGAUAUAUCCAUCAAUAGGUUCCUUCACUUUGGCUUCUAAAUCCCUCCUCCAACAAAACAACCCUUAAGUUAUUAAUUUAUCCUUAUAUUUUAGUAUCUAUUAAUUGUUGAACAAUCCGUUUGGCUUCUCAGUAUUCCCAUUUUCUUCUCAGGCUGACAGAUGGGAGGGGAAAGGCUGUUUCUCCUGUAGGUACUGUAUGAGCUGAGCUCUUUUUAUUUCAGGUUUGUUAUACAUUUUGCUCAGAAACACACAGCCCUUGUUGAUGCAGUUUUUGUUGUUGAAGAAUUUCACUUUGAAUCAAAAUGUUCAGCUGUGAAUGUUGCAAGCAGUUUAAAAAUAGCCAUGGAGCAUAUUGUUAAGAGAGUGCUUGGAAGCCUCAGCCAAAACCAACCGUUCUUGUGAAUCUGAAUGUUUCCCUGUUGCUGAGGAAUGCUAAUUAAGCUUUCAGUGCAGACAGGAAACAUAUUUAGCACACAUUUUCAGUGAAAAGGAGCUGAUUUCUCUGACCUUCUUCCCUCAGCAAGCAGAGGGAGCCUGUUAGUAUUCUACUUUUCCCACUGGUUUUCAUGUUUAUUUGCCCCAGAAAUAGAGAAUCAAACGAAAUGAGAUACACUCGUAUCAUGAUGCAUUCAUUCUCUUGACUUUCCCAAGGUCUUGUGUAGUCUGCAGGAAUGCCUGUGUAAUUCUCAGUAGACAACGAGAAAUGUUUGCAGAUUCAUCUCUCUUCUCCUGGGACUCUGACAUAUUAUGGCCGGCACCAGACAACACUGGUCUUCAUAAAUUAUGUACAAACACAUGGGCACACUUUUUGAGAAGCAAGAGGUCAAACAAGAUAUUACAGUGAUAUCCCACGGUACGAAACUAAGUCAACUCCUUUCUCCAGUAGAUGAAUUGACCGGUGUGGAUCUAUGAAUUGUUCCUAUCAUUACUAAGACUCAGAGGAAAACAUCUCAGCUUGCUCACUGCGAUGUCAUUCACUCUGGCUGACAGCCAACUUUUCCACUGGUCUGUGCUUUGUUUGUGUGCCAUCUGCCAGCUUAAAUUCUUCUGUAGCCUUCAAGACCUGGAAACAACUUUUCAGUUUCUCCCUGGGUACAGAUUAAAUUAAUCUAGAAUGUAGAGGUUCAGUGGUGCUGUAGAAGAGAGUGGUCCAUCACUGUUCUGUUAAUAGGAAGCUAUGACUGUAUCCUGCAAGUAUUGUUUUUUAGGUACUAAAUGUUCUGUCAUUUCACUGGAAACAUGGGAAUUCUGGUUUCCUCUUACUGCUUUCUCAGCCAUGUAUCUUAUGAUUUGACAGUAUGUCUCCCUACCUGCCAGACAGGAUGCCAGUCUGUCAGAAUUGUUUUCUUUUCUAUUUGUUUACUACAUAAAAAACACUGAUGUAAAAUGCAUUUGUGCAGCUUUGAUGAUCCAGGGCAAAAAGAGAAUUUGUUCUGACCUAAAACUUUGGAGGAGGAAAAAGCUUGGACAAAUCAAAGACAUAAAAAAAAAAUUCUCUUUGAUCAAAUAUGGAAAAUACGAAAGGUAUUACAGAUUAUUGGCAAGGUCCUCAGGUAAUACAAGCAAGCAGUUCUUACGUCUUCCAACUCAGUGUUACAUUUUGAAUACCUCAGUGAUGCUGGAACGAGUAUAUAUACUUAGUUUUGUUGAGAGAGAGAAGAGGUUGGGUUUGGAGAGGGAUUUUCUUAAGAGUGUAAGAAACCAAAAUGCUCCUGUCACUUUUGAAGUGGAUGACCACAGGUGAUGGUAGGGAUGUCUUAGCAGCAGCCCCAGGAAGGCAGUAGAACAAAUCUGUUUGGUGUUAAUUAGCAUCACUCACCAGGUGAAACAUCAUCACUAUCCUGAGAAUUGCUAGUACAUUGUGCACCUGCAAACCCUGGGCUGCCACUAAGAAAAAUCUGGAGAGCUUUUGAGAUAUGAGCACUUCUAAGCACACAAGUCCCCUGGAAAUAUCGACAGAGCUGUCUGAAUGAAAGGGACGUUUAUUGUCCUUUGCUUCUCUUGCAAGCUGAUUGUUAUGGGAAAUCUGUUUUUGCAAGUGUCAGGCUGACUUGAGAAGAAGCAAUUCUCUUCUGGAUAAUUUUGGCAGAACAACCUGACCUUCAAGAAACUAUGACUAAGA